AUGUUUUUUUUUCAUUUAUCCAUCAUCAAUCCAUGGUGCGCUGUCAAAGUUGAAUUUUCUGGUUCCAUGUUCUUCUUCGUUCAUCAAUUGAUUUCAGAGAUACAAGUAAUGUACGAAAAAACCAAAAGUUUGAUGCUUUGGUUUUCUGGGUACUACUUUGACAAAAACCCAUGUUUCUCCAAUUUCGUAUUUGUGAUCAAAGCGUCCAUUUUUGGAGGAAGUUAUCAAGUUUGA